CGACUCUCUGUGGUACGACAUGGGGUCUCCCACCUGGAAGCAGCGCGGUGCAUGAGGAGAGCACAACAGAAACAAAAAGCAUCAAACGGAGAAGAAAAAAAAACCAACGACGGAGGCACACGUUAAAGGUAUUGCUGCACCUAAGAAGCUGAUACACUGACUGGAGUACUUCUGACACGUCGGCCUGUGCAGAGAGAACAUUUUUGAGCCUAUCUGCAGGAAAGAUGUUAAUUCACUGCUGCAGCUGCUGGACCCCCUGCUCGACAGAUUGUGUACAACGGUCUGAUAACUGUGCGAGCAGCAGGAGAUCACCUCACCUGGGAGGGAACACACACCAACCCAAUGUACACACUGCACACGCACAGGUGGAAAAUGUGGCAGCGGUCCUGAGCCUCCGGCCAGAAUCUUCUUCUUGACUCCCGGGUGGUUCAGAAGGUAUGUCUCCUCCAUUGUCUCCUUCCCUUGACACAAAAACUGUAUAUGUUUCAGAGAUCUGUUUUUCCU